rnacentral:rRNA from 1 species
GAUGAACGCUAGCGGCAGGCCUAAUACAUGCAAGUCGAACGGUGUCUUCGGACAUAGUGGCGCACGGGUGCGUAACACGUAUGCAACCUACCUUACAUUGGGGGAUAGCCUUUCGAAAGGGAGAUUAAUACCGCAUAAGACAGUAACUAGGCAUCUAGUAGCUGUUAAAGAUUUAUCGAUGUAAGCUGGGCAUGCGUCCAAUUAGCUAGUUGGUGAGGUAACGGCUCACCAAGGCAAUGAUUGGUAGGGGAACUGAGAGGUCAAUCCCCCACACUGGCACUGAGAUACGGGCCAGACUCCUACGGGAGGCAGCAGUAGGGAAUAUUGGGCAAUGGACGCAAGUCUGACCCAGCCAUGCCGCGUGCAGGAUGAAGGCGUUAUGCGUUGUAAACUGCUUUUAUACAGGAAGAAACGACUCUUGCGAGAGGCAUUGACGGUACUGUAUGAAUAAGCACCGGCUAACUCCGUGCCAGCCGCCGCCGUAA